rnacentral:rRNA from 1 species
ACGGGAGGCAGCAGUGGGGAAUAUUGCACAAUGGGGGAAACCCUGAUGCAGCAACGCCGCGUGAGUGAAGAAGUAUUUCGGUAUGUAAAGCUCUAUCAGCAGGGAAGAAAAUGACGGUACCUGACUAAGAAGCCCCGGCUAACUACGUGCCAGCAGCCGCGGUAAUACGUAGGGGGCAAGCGUUAUCCGGAUUUACUGGGUGUAAAGGGAGCGUAGACGGCGAAGCAAGUCUGAAGUGAAAGCCCACGGCUCAACCGUGGAACUGCUUUGGAAACUGUUUUGCUAGAGUGCAGGAGGGGCAGGCGGAAUUCCUAGUGUAGCGGUGAAAUGCGUAGAUAUUAGGAGGAACACCAGUGGCGAAGGCGGCUUACUGGACUGUAACUGACGUUGAGGCUCGAAAGCGUGGGGAGCAAACAGGAUUAGAUACCCUGGUA